GCAAGUAGGACGCACAGUUUAUACCGUAGCUUGCUACACCAUAGACUGUGAGUUGCGAACGGGUGAGUAAUGCGUAGGUAACCUGCCUAUUAGAGGGGGAUAACUAUUGGAAACGAUAGCUAAUACCGCAUAACAGUAUGUAACACAUGUUAGAUGCUUGAAAGAUGCAAUUGCAUCGCUAGUAGAUGGACCUGCGUUGUAUUAGCUAGUAGGUAGGGUAAUGGCCUACCUAGGCGACGAUACAUAGCCGACCUGAGAGGGUGAUCGGCCACACUGGGACUGAGACACGGCCCAGACUCCUACGGGAGGCAGCAGUAGGGUAUCUUCGGCAAUGGGGGGAACCCUGACCGAGCAACGCCGCGUGAGUGAAGAAGGUUUUCGGAUCGUAAAGCUCUGUUGUUAAGGAAGAACGAGUGUGAGAAUGGAAAGUUCAUACUGUGACGGUACUUAACCAGAAAGGGACGGCUAACUACGUGCCAGCAGCCGCGGUAAUACGUAGGUCCCGAGCGUUGUCCGGAUUUAUUGGGCGUAAAGCGAGCGCAGGCGGUUAGAAAAGUCUGAAGUGAAAGGCAGUGGCUCAACCAUUGUAGGCUUUGGAAACUGUUUAACUUGAGUGCAGAAGGGGAGAGUGGAAUUCCAUGUGUAGCGGUGAAAUGCGUAGAUAUAUGGAGGAACACCGGUGGCGAAAGCGGCUCUCUGGUCUGUAACUGACGCUGAGGCUCGAAAGCGUGGGGAGCGAACAGGAUUAGAUACCCUGGUAGUCCACGCCGUAAACGAUGAGUGCUAG
rnacentral:rRNA from 1 species